AUGGAAGCUGGAUCACUGCUAGAAAAAUCUGCUGAUUUAGAGUGUUGGUGUUAUGUCCAUUUGCAUUUCUUUCCUGUUAUUGCUCCUGUCUCUAUAUCUGCACCAAGUGUGAGGGUCUCAGGAUUGCUUUUCAGCCCUUCACAACUUGUUUGCUGCUUUUUUUUUCGUCCUUUUUUUCUUCUUUUUUUCUUUCCUUUCUUCAUUAUCUGGCCCUCUGCCCUCCCAACUCACCUGUGUCCUAUCAAAUGUUUAUCAAUCAUUCUCAGUGUCCUCCACCUGUACUUAAGCACUUCUAAGGAGCCUGUGUCCACUAGAACUCUCUGGCAGGUGCUCAAGGGAGAGUGUAAGAAAGGGAAUAUGAAAAGGGUUAUUUUCCUUCCAAGGUUUGUGUCUGUAUUAAGUACAGAGAUUAAGAACCAGCAGAUUAGAAACAGCCAAGUGGAGCUGUUUGAGGCAGACAAUUUAGGCUUUCACAAAAUGCCUAGCAAUCUUCUUGAGAUCUUCUGCACAUACCUACGGCAUAGCUUCAAGGUAACAUAA
rnacentral:lncRNA from 1 species